rnacentral:rRNA from 1 species
CCUUUCGAAAGAAAGAUUAAUACCGGAUGGCAUAGUCUUCCCGCAUGGGAUGACUAUUAAAGAAUUUCGGUUGUCGAUGGGGAUGCGUUCCAUUAGGCAGUUGGCGGGGUAACGGCCCACCAAACCAACGAUGGAUAGGGGUUCUGAGAGGAAGGUCCCCCACAUUGGAACUGAGACACGGUCCAAACUCCUACGGGAGGCAGCAGUGAGGAAUAUUGGUCAAUGGACGAGAGUCUGAACCAGCCAAGUAGCGUGAAGGAUGACUGCCCUAUGGGUUGUAAACUUCUUUUAUACGGGAAUAAAGUGAGCCACGUGUGGCUUUUUGUAUGUACCGUAUGAAUAAGGAUCGGCUAACUCCGUGCCAGCAGCCGCGGUAAUACGGAGGAUCCGAGCGUUAUCCGGAUUUAUUGGGUUUAAAGGGAGCGUAGGCGGGUUGUUAAGUCAGUUGUGAAAGUUUGCGGCUCAACCGUAAAAUUGCAGUUGAUACUGGCGACCUUGAGUGCAACAGAGGUAGGCGGAAUUCGUGGUGUAGCGGUGAAAUGCUUAGAUAUCACGAAGAACUCCGAUUGCGAAGGCAGCUUACUGGAUUGUAACUGACGCUGAUGCUCGAAAGUGUGGGUAUCAAACAGGAUUAGAUACCCUGGUAGUCCACACAGUAAACGAUGAAUACUCGCUGUUGGCGAUAUACGGUCAGCGGCCAAGCGAAAGCAUUAAGUAUUCCACCUGGGGAGUACGCCGGCAACGGUGAGACUCAAAGGAAUUGACGGGGG